rnacentral:misc_RNA from 1 species
GAUGAAGAACGUAGCGAAAUGCGAUACGUAAUGUGAAUUGCAGAAUUCAGUGAAUCAUCGAAUCUUUGAACGCAUAUUGCGCUCUCUGGUAUUCCGGAGAGCAUGCUUGUUUGAGUAUCAGUAAACACCUCAACUCCCUUUUCUUUUUUGAAAUUGGAGCUGGACUUGAGUGAUCCCAACGCUUUCUUCCAAGAAAGUGGCGGGUUGCUUGAAAUGCAGGUGCAGCUGAACUUUUCUCUGAGCUAUAAGCAUAUCUAUUUAGUCUGCCUAAAAAACAGAUUAUUACCUUUGCUGCAGCUAACAUAAAGGAGACUAGUUCUUGUGCUGACUGAUGCAGGAUUCACAGAGACAGCUUCGGCUGACUUUGUAAACUCGAUCUCAACUCAAGUAAGACUACCCGCUGAACUUAAGCAUAUCAAUAAGCGGAGGA